rnacentral:ncRNA from 1 species
UGUUUAUUUUACUACUUGUUACUUGCAUAUUUAAUGAAUUGCUUGCUUAUUCUCAGAUACAUCUGUCAAAAUGUAAUGCAGGUGUCCUAAGGCUUGUCUAGACAAGAUGGGAAUCUCUCGUAAAGCAAAAGGAAUAGAAGCUCGCUUGAUCAUGAUUUCCAGCACGAAUUUUACAGACCGCGAAAACGUAGCCUAUCGAUCCUUUUGAAUUAUUAGAAGAAGGUUUCUAGCAAGAGGUGUCAGGAAAGUUACCACA